rnacentral:rRNA from 1 species
AUUGAACGCUGGCGGCAGGCCUAACACAUGCAAGUCGAGCGGAUGACGGGAGCUUGCUCCUUGAUUCAGCGGCGGACGGGUGAGUAAUGCCUAGGAAUCUGCCUGGUAGUGGGGGACAACGUUUCGAAAGGAACGCUAAUACCGCAUACGUCCUACGGGAGAAAGCAGGGGACCUUCGGGCCUUGCGCUAUCAGAUGAGCCUAGGUCGGAUUAGCUAGUUGGUGGGGUAAUGGCUCACCAAGGCGACGAUCCGUAACUGGUCUGAGAGGAAGAUCAGUCACACUGGAACUGAGACACGGUCCAGACUCCUACGGGAGGCAGCAGUGGGGAAUAUUGGACAAUGGGCGAAAGCCUGACCCAGCCAUGCCGCGUGUGUGAAGAAGGUCCUCGGAUUGUAAAGCACUUUAAGUUGGGAGGAAGGGCAGUAAGCUAAUACCUUGCUGUUUUGACGCUACCGACAGAAUAGGCACCGGCUAACUCUGUGCCAGCAGCCGCAGUAACAC